rnacentral:rRNA from 1 species
AGUGAACGCUGGCGGUAGGCCUAACACAUGCAAGUCGAACGGCAGCACAGGAGAGCUUGCUCUCUGGGUGGCGAGUGGCGGACGGGUGAGGAAUACAUCGGAAUCUACUUUUUCGUGGGGGAUAACGUAGGGAAACUUACGCUAAUACCGCAUACGACCUACGGGUGAAUGCAGGGGAUCUUCGGACCUUGCGCGAUUGAAUGAGCCGAUGUCGGAUUAGCUAGUUGGCGGGGUAAAGGCCCACCAAGGCGGCGAUCCGUAGCUGGUCUGAGAGGAUGAUCAGCCACACUGGAACUGAGACACGGUCCAGACUCCUACGGGAGGCAGCAGUGGGGAAUAUUGGACAAUGGGCGCAAGCCUGAUCCAGCCAUACCGCGUGGGUGAAGAAGGCCUUCGGGUUGUAAAGCCCUUUUGUUGGGAAAGAAAUCCAGCUGGCUAAUACCCGGUUGGGAUGACGGUACCCAAAGAAUAAGCACCGGCUAACUUCGUGCCAGCAGCCGCAGUAA